UACGGAAGGCAGCAGUGGGGAAUAUUGCACAAUGGGCGCAAGCCUGAUGCAGCCAUGCCGCGUGUAUGAAGAAGGCCUUCGGGUUGUAAAGUACUUUCAGUCGUGAGGAAGGUGUUAAGGUUAAUAACCUUAGCAAUUGACGUUAGCGACAGAAGAAGCACCGGCUAACUCCGUGCCAGCAGCCGCGGUAAUACGGAGGGUGCGAGCGUUAAUCGGAAUUACUGGGCGUAAAGGGCACGCAGGCGGUUAAUUAAGUUGGAUGUGAAAUCCCCGGGCUUAACCUGGGAAUGGCAUUCAAGACUGGUUAGCUAGAGUCUUGUAGAGGGGGUAGAAUUCCGAUGUGUAGCGGUGAAAUGCGUAGAGAUGUGGAGGAAUACCGGUGGCGAAGGCGGCCCCUGGACAAAGACUGACGCUCAUGUGCGAAAGCGUGGGGAGCGAAACAGGGAUUAGAUACC
rnacentral:rRNA from 1 species